GACUCUGUUCUACGCCUGCGCAGCCCUAGGGGGCUGCGGAGCGGGAAGGGGAGGGUGGGAGGUUCUUAGAUACCGCUAGAGGCUGGAGCUUUAGCACGGCAGCUGCCCCGCACCCACCCCGGCCUUCCAGUAAACCUCUCGGGAGAGAGUUUAGAACCGCAAACCGCUAGGAUUCAAAAAAUGGUCACCUUCUCGCGGCCUCCCAAUUCUGCUAGGAUCGCCCGGUGGGGACACUGAGCCACAGAGAGGAAAAAGAAACAGCGUUUCAUUUCAGAGGGCAUCGAACCCACCACAUCUCCGGUUUCGCAUGUCGGAAAACUGAGCUACAGAGAGAAAAGAGGGCUGAGAAUACACUUUGGAUCUUAAGAUGAUGGAUCUGCUGAAAACCAAAGGCCCAGGCAUGGGGAGUCUGAUGGAAGCUGGGAAACAAAGCCGUGAAAUAUUGGGAGCCAAAGGUUUGAGACCCAGGUCACCUGGCUAGAAUAUGUUGGAGGCCAGAAGGCCAGAUUGGAACCCAGGACCUCUCCUUUCUAGGAUUGGCUCUCUAUCCACUGAGCUACCCAGCUGCCACUAUUAUUCUCUUCUAGUGGCACCAGGGACAGCAUUUGGCCCUCCUACAUUCCCAGAAUGCCCUUGUCAGUGCCACCCUUGUAGUUGCCCACUUGGUACCCCUUUGGAUUUCUUCUCCUUAGGGUUAUCCUGUGUGUGUAUUUCUAUAUGGCCCUGUCAUUCCACCGGUUAGAAUACAGGCUCCUUGAGGGCAGGGGUUAUUUCCUUCUUUGACCUUACAGCACUGGAGCCUAGCACAGGGCCUGGCACAGAGUCAACACUUAAUAAAUGCUUGUCGAUGGAGGGAGGGAUGGACGGAUAGAUGGACAAGUGGACAGACGGAUGGAUGGACGAAUGGAUGGAUGGCCCAGAAUGGCUGCAGCAGCCAUUGUGUCCCUAGUCCGGGCUCCUUGGUGACCACAGGGUAUCCUGGGGACACAGGCCAUGUGGAUGUCCUAGAGAAUGGUGUGGAACCAAGGCCAGGAGUGCAGAUUAGAAAGAGAAGCCAGAUUUGCCUGGCAACUCUGGUCCUGCUGCACUCACAUUUACCGAGCCUGUCUCUGCUCCUCCCCAUCUUGCUCCAGAUCCUGGAGCUUGGGGCUGAGGCCAGAUCCUGCACCAUGAGUCCUCUAAGUGCCCCUUGAAGUGCUAAGGGAGCCCCCUGAAAAUCUCCCAGGCCUGGAGAAGAAGGGUAUCUGGGAGGGCGGGCAUCACAGAAGGGGUGGCUUAGGGAAUGAAGAUCCAAGAGGAUUUGCUGAAGGCUGGGGGGGACAGAGGAAAUGCAGAGAAAAUGUCACGUGGCCACAGUUCUGGAUACUGCAGAGGUCGGACAGGUCCAAGAAGUGGGCCAACAACUGGCCCCUUCCUUCAAGUUGAGUGGAGGGGCAGGUUGGUGUCAUGGUAAGAAUAUCAGUUCUGAGGGCCCCAGUCCAAAGAUUGCUUAUGGCUCUUUAUUGCCCAUGUGACCUUGAGCAAGUCCUUUCCCUCUCUGGGCCUUCAUUUCCUCCCCUAAAGGGACUGGACUAGAUGACCACUAAAUCCCAUGAUCCAGAAAGCUCAACUUUUAUCCCAGUUCUACCCCUUGCCAGCUGGGCGAUGAUGGAAGUCACUGCAUCUCAGUUGUCUCCUCUGAACAAUGGGGCAAUAAUGCCUAUGCUAGGCCUCUCCUAGGGUGAUAGGGAUCCAGUGAGAUAACAUAUGGGGAGACAGGAUGGGGCAGUGGAGAGGGUGCUGGGUUUACAGCAAUUAGCCCUGAGAUUUCAAACAGGAAAACCUGUGAAGACAAUUCAGCCAUCACCCUCAUUAUUUUAACCCUUUAACCUUCCACCUUAGGAUCAAUCCUGUGUAUUGGUGCCAAGGCAGAAGAACAGCAAGGGCUAGGCAAUGGGGGUGAAGUGACUUGCCCAGGGCCACACAGCUGGGAAGUGUCUGAGGACAGAUUGGAACCCAGGACCUGCUGUCUCUAGGCCUGGCUCUCAAUCCACUGAGCCACCCCGCUGCCCGCUGCCUACCACUUCUUAUGGGAAGCCCUACCUGAUUUCCCCAGCCAGUCUUGGCCCUUUGAAAAAUUGCAGAUUCCUGAAUCUGAGCCCUAAACUGACUUUCAUCUUCCUUGGAGAACAUUCCUUAUCAUCCCCCCAGCAUCUGGUCCCACCUUCCCAAGGGGGAAAUAAGGCCACCUUCCACUUUGCUCAGAGCCUGGCUGGGAAGCGCUUGGAAGCCUUUCCCACUGCUGCUCAUCUGGGCUCUGUGUCCUCUGCAGGGAUUGUUUGGACACCAGGCUGUUUCACGUUGUUGGAGAAAAUGAGGUAAUGGUUUCCUAAUGCCAGACACGCCCACGUUUCAGUAAAGCAAAUUACCUUUGGAACCAAACGAGCUGUUUUAGCACAAUGUAUGUAGACAGAGACGUGCAGAUUUGGCUCUUAGCAGAGGGUUCUCCAGCACAGCAGCUUCUAAACGUGGCUGGUGUCCCUUAGGCCUCUGGGUAAUCCUCACUCAGCUUCCCUGGGGUGCUAGGAUGGCAAGAAGGCUCUUACUGUUCCUGAUUUAGGGAGAGGUAAAUAAUGCUUACAAGUCAAAGGAAUUUAUUUGAGGUCAAGAAGCUAGGAAGAGGGGGGCAGCUAGGUGGCUCAGUGGCUAGAGAGCAAGACCUGGAGAAAGGAGGUUCAAACCUGGCCUAAGGUACUUCCUCCCUGGGUGACCCUGGGUAAAUCACUUAGCCCCAGUUAACUAGCCUUUACUGCUCUUCUGUCUUGGAAUUGAUAAGAUUUUUUUUAAAAAAAGAUACUCAAGUCCACGUAGGUCAUAAGUGGCCAAAGUGGGAUUCAAACCCAGGACUUUCAACUCCAAAUCUGGGGCAUCAGAGAACUUAGACUUGAAUCUUGUCUCUGAACUUGCUCCCUAUGGGAGAUAUAGAAAAAUAUCUGAACAUCUCUAGGCCUCAGUUUCUUCCUUGGUUAAGAAAAAAUCAAGAUGGGAUCACUGGCUUUCCAUAUAAGCAAAAUCAGUUACCUAGGGGCCAAGCUAGGUGACUCAGUGGAUGGAAAGCCACGCCUAGAGAUGGGAGAAUAUGGGCUCAGAUCUGGCCUUAGACACUUCUUAGUGUGUGACCCUGGGCAAGUCACCUAAUCUCCAUUGCUCAGCCCUUACUGCUCUUCUUCUGCCUUGGAACCAAUACACAGUAUUGAAGGGAAGGGAAGGAUUUGGGGUGGGAGAAGUGAAGAAGGGUGACGGGAAAGGUGAACUGCAGAUCUUGGAACUCUAGGCUUAGGGUUCAAAGGGACCUCAGAGUCAUUCAUUUUUCAGAGGGGGAAACUGAGGGAAGGGUUAAAAAAAAGAUCAGUUACCAAAAUGCAAGUUCCCUCUUCCCUGGACAAUGUAAAAGAAACACUGAAAAUUGUUUGCUAAUCAUCUUUUUUUCUAGAGUUCCUCUUGGCCACUGGAACCAACUGCCAUGAUAAUCCCACUGGUCUCAUUGGUUCAGGACAUGUUCUGAUUUCUGAGCCGAGCCUUUAUCUCCCCUUCAGCUCAUUUGAUGGAGGCUGAUUCCGGAUGACACAGAGCAGGGCACCUGCAUCUUCCCAUGAGGCCAUAUUCAGAUCAGACACUGGGGAGAGGGGGCCUUAUUGCUGCAAGGGAUCCUUGGAGGAAGCAGAUCCCAUCUAUGUGGUCAAAGCAUCAUAGGAUUUGUAUCUGCAGAGGACAGACAGACAGAGACAUCAAUGGGGACAGAGAGAGAGAGACACAGAGGGAGAGGGAGAGGGAGGAUGGAGUGAGGGUGAGAGAAACAGGCAGAGAGGGAGAAGGAAGAGAGAGGGGGAAGGGAGACAGACAGACAUAGAGAAGGAAGGGAGAGAGGUGGGGGAGAAGAAGAAGGGGAGAAAGGGGAAGGGAGGGAAGAAGAGCAAAGGAGGGAGAGACAGACAAGGAGGGGGAAGGAAGAGAGAGAAGGGGGAGGGAAGGAGACAGAGACAGAG